rnacentral:rRNA from 1 species
GGUUAAUAUUCCUGUACUUGGUGUUACUGCGAAGGGGGGACGGAGAAGGCUAUGUUAGCCGGGCGACGGUUGUCCCGGUUUAAGCAUGUAGGCGGGUGUUUUAGGUAAAUCCGGAACGCUACUAACGCUGAGGUGUGAUGACGAGGCACUACGGUGCUGAAGUAACAAAUGCCCUGCUUCCAGGAAAAGCCUCUAAGCAUCAGGUAACAUCAAAUCGUACCCCAAACCGACACAGGUGGUCAGGUAGAGAAUACCAAGGCGCUUGAGAGAACUCGGGUGAAGGAACUAGGCAAAAUGGUGCCGUAACUUCGGGAGAAGGCACGCUGAUAUGUAGGUGAAGUGAUUUACUCAUGGAGCUGAAAUCAGUCGAAGAUACCAGCUGGCUGCAACUGUUUAUUAAAAACACAGCACUGUGCAAACACGAAAGUGGACGUAUACGGUGUGACGCCUGCCCGGUGCCGGAAGGUUAAUUGAUGGGGUUAGCGGCAACGCGAAGCUCUUGAUCGAAGCCCCGGUAAACGGCGGCCGUAACUAUAACGGUCCUAAGGUAGCGAAAUUCCUUGUCGGGUAAGUUCCGACCUGCACGAAUGGCGUAAUGAUGGCCAGGCUGUCUCCACCCGAGACUCAGUGAAAUUGAACUCGCUGUGAAGAUGCAGUGUACCCGCGGCAAGACGGAAAGACCCCGUGAACCUUUACUAUAGCUUGACACUGAACACUGGUCCUUGAUGUGUAGGAUAGGUGGGAGGCUUUGAAGCGCGGACGCCAGUUCGUGUGGAGCCAUCCUUGAAAUACCACCCUUUAAUGGCUGGUGUUCUAACGUAGACCCGUAAUCCGGGUUGCGGACAGUGUCUGGUGGGUAGUUUGACUGGGGCGGUCUCCUCCUAAAGAGUAACGGAGGAGCACGAAGGUUAGCUAAUCCUGGUCGGACAUCAGGAGGUUAGUGCAAAGGCAUAAGCUAGCUUGACUGCGAGAGUGACGGCUCAAGCAGGUGCGAAAGCAGGUCUUAGUGAUCCGGUGGUUCUGAAUGGAAGGGCCAUCGCUCAACGGAUAAAAGGUACUCCGGGGAUAACAGGCUGAUACCGCCCAAGAGUUCAUAUCGACGGCGGUGUUUGGCACCUCGAUGUCGGCUCAUCACAUCCUGGGGCUGAAGUAGGUCCCAAGGGUAUGGCUGUUCGCCAUUUAAAGUGGUACGCGAGCUGGGUUUAGAACGUCGUGAGACAGUUCGGUCCCUAUCUGCCGUGGGCGCUGGAGAACUGAGGGGGGCUGCUCCUAGUACGAGAGGACCGGAGUGGACGCAUCACUGGUGUUCGGGUUGUCAUGCCAAUGGCAUUGCCCGGUAGCUAAAUGCGGAAAAGAUAAGUGCUGAAAGCAUCUAAGCACGAAACUUGCCCCGAGAUGAGUUCUCCCUGACCCUUUAAGGGUCCUGAAGGAACGUUGAAGACGACGACGUUGAUAGGUCGGGUGUGUAAGCGUAGCGAUACGUUGAGCUAACCGAUACUAAUGAACCGUGAGGCUUAACCUU